UCCUACGGGAGGCAGCAGUGAGGAAUAUUGGACAAUGGGCGCAAGCCUGAUCCAGCCAUGCCGCGUGCAGGAAGACGCAUCUAUGGUGUGUAAACUGCUUUUGUACGGGAAGAAACACUCCCUCGUGAGGGAGCUUGACGGUACCGUAAGAAUAAGGAUCGGCUAACUCCGUGCCAGCAGCCGCGGUAAU
rnacentral:rRNA from 1 species